rnacentral:rRNA from 1 species
AGACCCGAAACCCGGUGAUCUAGCCAUGGGCAGGUUGAAGGUUGGGUAACACUAACUGGAGGACCGAACCGACUAAUGUUGAAAAAUUAGCGGAUGACCUGUGGCUGGGGGUGAAAGGCCAAUCAAACCGGGAGAUAGCUGGUUCUCCCCGAAAGCUAUUUAGGUAGCGCCUCGUGAACUCAUCUCCGGGGGUAGAGCACUGUUUCGGCUAGGGGGCCAUCCCGGCUUACCAACCCGAUGCAAACUGCGAAUACCGGAGAAUGUUAUCACGGGAGACACACGGCGGGUGCUAACGUCCGUCGUGAAGAGGGAAACAACCCAGACCGCCAGCUAAGGUCCCAAAGUCAUGGUUAAGUGGGAAACGAUGUGGGAAGGCCCAGACAGCCAGGAUGUUGGCUUAGAAGCAGCCAUCAUUUAAAGAAAGCGUAAUAGCUCACUGGUCGAGUCGGCCUGCGCGGAAGAUGUAACGGGGCUAAACCAUGCACCGAAGCUGCGGCAGCGACACUGUGUGUUGUUGGGUAGGGGAGCGUUCUGUAAGCCUGUGAAGGUGGCCUGUGAGGGUUGCUGGAGGUAUCAGAAGUGCGAAUGCUGACAUAAGUAACGAUAAAGCGGGUGAAAAGCCCGCUCGCCGGAAGACCAAGGGUUCCUGUCCAACGUUAAUCGGGGCAGGGUGAGUCGACCCCUAAGGCGAGGCCGAAAGGCGUAGUCGAUGGGAAACGGGUUAAUAUUCCCGUACUUGGUGUUACUGCGAAGGGGGGACGGAGAAGGCUAUGUUGGCCGGGCGACGGUUGUCCCGGUUUAAGCGUGUAGGUGUGUGUUCCAGGUAAAUCCGGUUCACUUUAACACUGAGGCGUGACGACGAGGCACUACGGUGCUGAAGCAACAAAUGCCCUGCUUCCAGGAAAAGCCUCUAAGCAUCAGGUAACAUCAAAUCGUACCCCAAACCGACACAGGUGGUCAGGUAGAGAAUACCAAGGCGCUUGAGAGAACUCGGGUGAAGGAACUAGGCAAAAUGGUGCCGUAACUUCGGGAGAAGGCACGCUGACACGUAGGUGAAGUGAUUUACUCAUGGAGCUGAAGUCAGUCGAAGAUACCAGCUGGCUGCAACUGUUUAUUAAAAACACAGCACUGUGCAAACACGAAAGUGGACGUAUACGGUGUGACGCCUGCCCGGUGCCGGAAGGUUAAUUGAUGGGGUCAGCGCAAGCGAAGCUCCUGAUCGAAGCCCCGGUAAACGGCGGCCGUAACUAUAACGGUCCUAAGGUAGCGAAAUUCCUUGUCGGGUAAGUUCCGACCUGCACGAAUGGCGUAAUGAUGGCCAGGCUGUCUCCACCCGAGACUCAGUGAAAUUGAACUCGCUGUGAAGAUGCAGUGUACCCGCGGCAAGACGGAAAGACCCCGUGAACCUUUACUAUAGCUUGACACUGAACAUUGAGCCUUGAUGUGUAGGAUAGGUGGGAGGCUUUGAAGUGUGGACGCCAGUCUGCAUGGAGCCGACCUUGAAAUACCACCCUUUAAUGUUUGAUGUUCUAACGUGGACCCGUGAUCCGGGUUGCGGACAGUGUCUGGUGGGUAGUUUGACUGGGGCGGUCUCCUCCUAAAGAGUAACGGAGGAGCACGAAGGUUGGCUAAUCCUGGUCGGACAUCAGGAGGUUAGUGCAAUGGCAUAAGCCAGCUUGACUGCGAGCGUGACGGCGCGAGCAGGUGCGAAAGCAGGUCAUAGUGAUCCGGUGGUUCUGAAUGGAAGGGCCAUCGCUCAACGGAUAAAAGGUACUCCGGGGAUAACAGGCUGAUACCGCCCAAGAGUUCAUAUCGACGGCGGUGUUUGGCACCUCGAUGUCGGCUCAUCACAUCCUGGGGCUGAAGUAGGUCCCAAGGGUAUGGCUGUUCGCCAUUUAAAGUGGUACGCGAGCUGGGUUUAGAACGUCGUGAGACAGUUCGGUCCCUAUCUGCCGUGGGCGCUGGAGAACUGAGGGGGGCUGCUCCUAGUACGAGAGGACCGGAGUGGACGCAUCACUGGUGUUCGGGUUGUCAUGCCAAUGGCACUGCCCGGUAGCUAAAUGCGGAAGAGAUAAGUGCUGAAAGCAUCUAAGCACGAAACUUGCCCCGAGAUGAGUUCUCCCUGAGACUUAAAGUCUCCUGAAGGAACGUUGAAG